rnacentral:rRNA from 1 species
GGAGUUAGCCGGUGCUUCUUCUGUGAGUGAUUGUCCUUCCUGCCGGCUAUUAACCCGCAGGCCUUCUUCCUCACUGAAAGUGCUUUACAACCCGAAGGCCUUCUUCACACACGCGGCAUGGCUGGACUCAGGGUUGCCCCCAUUGUCCAAUAUUCCCCACUGCUGCCUCCCGUAGGAGUCUGGGCCGUGUCUCAGUCCCAGUGUGGCUGAUCAUCCUCUCAGACCAGCUACGGAUCGUCGCCUUGGUGAGCCGUUACCUCACCAACCAGCUAAUCCGACAUAGGCUCAUCCGAUAGCGCGAGGCCCGAAGGUCCCCCGCUUUCCCCCGUAGGGCGUAUGCCGGUAUUAGCCUGGGUUUCCCCCAGGUUUAUCCCCCACUACCGGGCACGAUUCCUAUGCAAUUACUCACCCGUCCGCCGCUCGCCACCAGGGAGCAAGCUCCCCGUGCUGCCGCUCGACUUGCAUGUGUUAGGUCCGUCGCCGCCACGCGUUCAACUACUGAGCCAGAAUACGAACCCGUACGA